rnacentral:rRNA from 1 species
UACGGGGGGGGCAAGCGUUGUUCGGAAUUACUGGGCGUAAAGGGCUCGUAGGCGGCCAACUAAGUCGGAUGUGAAAUCCCCAGGCUUAACCUGGGAACUGCAUCCGAUACUGGAUGGCUUGAAUUCGGGAGAGGGAUGCAGAAUUCCAGGUGUAGCGGUGAAAUGCGUAGAUAUCAGGAGGAACACCGGCGGUGUAGACGGCUUUCUGGACCGUAGCUGACGCUGAGACACGAAAGCGUGGGUAGCAAACAGG